rnacentral:misc_RNA from 1 species
AAGUCGUAACAAGGUUUCCGUAGGUGAACCUGCGGAAGGAUCAUUAACAAUUUCAUUAUGAAAACCCGACCGGUGGCCAUGGCUGCUGGUCCGUGCGUGUCUGUGGCUAGUCCUUGGACUGGCCGUGGCCGCACAACAAACUAUAGUAGGUUAUGUGAGUUAGUAUACAACGAAAACAACUUUUAACAGUGGAUCUCUUGGCUCCU